rnacentral:rRNA from 1 species
CAGUCGCCACGGGAAUACGAAGGGGGCUAGCGUUACUCGGAAUUACUGGGCGUAAAGGGCGCGUAGGCGGCACGAUUAGUCAGGCGUGAAAUUCCUGGGCUCAACCUGGGGACUGCGCUUGAUACGGUCGAGCUAGAGGAUGGAAGAGGGUCGUGGAAUUCCCAGUGUAGAGGUGAAAUUCGUAGAUAUUGGGAAGAACACCGGUGGCGAAGGCGGCGACCUGGUCCAUUACUGACGCUGAGGCGCGACAGCGUGGGGAGCAAACAGGAUUAGAUACCCGCGUAGUCCCUGUCUCUUAUAC